UGUUGGGAUUUUUAUGGAUAAUUACAUUACACAGGCUCUCAUAAUGUCAGAUGUAAUAUAAUAAAUAGGCUGUUCACUUUGGUGUUCCCUAUAGUCAGCUAGAGCUAUCUGGAAGACAACUCCUCAUUUUUCUGGUUUGUGUGAAAAUUAUGUCUUAUUUUUCGGGAGCUCUUUACUUAGCAGAACACCACACAGCCCAGCAGUUGCUCGUCACAGCUGUAAUUAGAUUAUAUCAAACCAGCAGUGUUGAAACACUGGUGCCUGCAUUGCCUUGCUCAGCUGUAACUCCUGAGCUCUUCCAAAGCACUGAGCUGGCCGCAGUGAUGAGGAUGACAACAGUGAUAUGUGGCAGGUACUCUGCACGUUGA
rnacentral:lncRNA from 1 species